rnacentral:rRNA from 1 species
UACGAAGGGGGCUAGCGUUGCUCGGAAUCACUGGGCGUAAAGCGCACGUAGGCGGCUUGUUAAGUCAGGGGUGAAAUCCUGGAGCUCAACUCCAGAACUGCCUUUGAUACUGGCGAGCUUGAGUUCGGGAGAGGUGAGUGGAACUGCGAGUGUAGAGGUGAAAUUCGUAGAUAUUCGCAAGAACACCAGUGGCGAAGGCGGCUCACUGGUCCGGUACUGACGCUGAGGUGCGAAAGCGUGGGUAGCAACAGGA